GUUGUGAACAAUUUUGCGGUUUAAGAACACGUCAUGAAAAUGAGCAUCAGCAGGAAACAUCUGACUUUUCUCCACCAGUCCUACAGGGAGAAUGGCCACACCAAGUUUGUCCCUGACGGGUAUUUUGGACUCAUCAAGCAGCGUUUCCAAAAGACCAGAGUAAACUCUUUGUCAGUGAUUGCCAGUGUGGUGAAGGACUGCAUCAUGACAGGGUUGAGCAUUCCACAGCUGGUUGGACUGGAGGAUGGUACUGUGCUGGUGGAAAGUUAUGACUGGCAACAACACCUGACUCCAUACUUCAGACCACUGCCACAGAUCAAGCAGUACCAGCACUUUAAAGAAAUCCACCUCCCCAUUCAAAAACCGGGCAGUGGUUUAUCAAGAGACUCCAAUGACUACUAGGACCCCAGAAACAAAGCAAGCUGGCUGAGGCUGAUUUGUUCCUAGUGGGCAUGCAGUAUAAAAACUGUGUUAGCACCGAUUCACAGCUAAUCAAGGGAGAAGAGAAAGGG
ensembl:lncRNA